GACGAACGCUGGCGGCGUGCUUAACACAUGCAAGUCGAACGGAAAGGCCCUGCUUUUGUGGGGUGCUCGAGUGGCGAACGGGUGAGUAACACGUGAGUAACCUGCCCUUGACUUUGGGAUAACUUCAGGAAACUGGGGCUAAUACCGGAUAGGAGCUCCUGCUGCAUGGUGGGGGUUGGAAAGUUUCGGCGGUUGGGGAUGGACUCGCGGCGUAUCAGCUUGUUGGUGGGGUAGUGGCUUACCAAGGCUUUGACGGGUAGCCGGCCUGAGAAGGUGACCGGCCACAUUGGGACUGAGAUACGGCCCAGACUCCUACGGGAGGCAGCAGUGGGGAAUAUUGCACAAUGGGCGGAAGCCUGAUGCAGCAACGCCGCGUGCGGGAUGACGGCCUUCGGGUUGUAAACCGCUUUCGCCUGUGACGAAGCGUGAGUGACGGUAAUGGGUAAAGAAGCACCGGCUAACUACGUG
rnacentral:rRNA from 1 species